AUUCAUCUCGCCUCUUGCCUGUGAUGCUACAUGCUCCCCCUAUUUCUCGGAAUGCUUACCAUAGGCCCCACAAUGCUGGAUGCCGUACAGAUCAAGCCACCCCUGUUCUCUGCGAUGGGACACUCUAAGAAGGAGGUGUCACCCACAUUGUCAUCCCUGGUUUUCAAGUUAACUGCCAUGACGGACUUCAUGAUGAAUUUGUGGAUUUUCUCACAAGCCCUCACACCUCUGUCCUUUGAGCAUUUUGUCAACAGUGGACAACUGCUGUGAUUCUUAACACAUUUAAAAAAAAAAAUGUGAUCGCCUGUAGUCAAGUUUCCCUGCUUUGGAAGGGAAGGGGAUCCAUUUUUCAACUCAGAAUUAGAGGAUGAACCUGUUAACAGGGAGAGGCUGAGAAGAGAAAAAAUGGGGAGUUAAAUUCAGCUCUAAACGCUAUGGAGAAUCAAUAAAUAUCGACAGGCAAGGGGGCAGAAGGAAGGAGAGAGGUUUUGCCAACCUCAACUGAUAUCUGUUAAUAAUACCAAACAGCAAUCUGUCAUCAGCCUGGCAACACUGGAUUUUCCCCAAGGAAAAUCCAGGGUCCCCUCCCAGCAGUUCUUGGAGAAAGAGCUUAGAGUUCUGAGUUCCUGGGAGAGGAUGGACUGUAGGCGGGAUCAGAGUACUGAGAUCCUGACAAUUAAACCUGCUUACAUUUUCCCUGCGUGCAGACAUGGUGUUUGGAAACAGCAACCUCCAGUCAUCUUGCUUAGCUCUUUGGGGUUCUGGUCAUACAUACAUCUUUCUAAACUUCAAAAGUCUAUGCAAGCACACUGACCUGGCAGGUUAUUUGAAUUCUUGUUCUGGUUUACAAGUCUUUCUAAGACAUUUACACCAGAGCUAGAAGAAAGAGACCGGAUUUUGGAAAUUGCUCACAGGUUCGAGAGAGGAUUACCGGAGCACAAGAGCCGGGCGGAGGUUGUCUACUUUUUCUGCUAAAUUGCACAGUAGAUUCUUUCAGACCUUGAGGAAGAGAUUAGAGAAAGAUAAAUCAGAGUGUUAUAACCCUGUGCUGAGUCACAGCUCUGAGGUUCUUUUA
rnacentral:lncRNA from 1 species